UACGUAGGGUGCGAGCGUUGUCCGGAAUUAUUGGGCGUAAAGAGCUCGUAGGCGGUCUGUCGCGUCGAUCGUGAAAACUUGGGGCUUAACCCUGAGCUUGCGGUCGAUACGGGCAUGACUGGAGUUCGGCAGGGGAGACUGGAAUUCCUGGUGUAGCGGUGAAAUGCGCAGAUAUCAGGAGGAACACCGGUGGCGAAGGCGGGUCUCUGGGCUGUAACUGACGCUGAGGAGCGAAAGCGUGGGGAGCGAACAGG
rnacentral:rRNA from 1 species